GUCGCCCGGGGUGUCAGAUUUUGCGUCGCAAGGGGUAGAGCCUUGUCAUAAAAAAAAGAAUACAUUUUCUUGUAAAUCGAUCUCUAUCUGAUAUUUUUUAAUUCAAACACACCUACACAAAUAGGAACAUAAAUGUAACAGAAAUUCAACCCAGAAAAACACAGGUUACAUCAAAUUCUUCAAAUGUUAUUCAAUUCCGGUUCGUUUAGAGAUAUGUAUAUAGUCAGAGUAGACCUUCAAAGUAGAUAUGAUAUGAUAGAUGUGUAACAGAAAACGGAUAGUUCUAGCUGGGCGAUUACGAACGAAAUAACUGUCUUGAAUCAUUUUUUCUUGUAAACCUGUUCCGUUGUAUAUUGUGUACAAGUCGUUGUUUUCUCAUUGACAAUUGUAGUAUCAUCGUUUUCAGGAUUACUUGAAGUUGUGUUGUCAUUCUCUGAAAAAGAUGCCGGUGAGUGUUUCAUUGGAGAGAGUGUUCUUAUUCUUUUAGGAGUAAUCAUUAUGGAUUUUUGCGGCGUGCACGAGUGCUUUUUAGAUGAACCUGCUGAUGAACUAUGAUGCAUUUUGGCUGGUGGAGGCUUCGGGCAUAUCUUAUAUUGAGGACUAUUUUGUGAUGUUUUGGUUUAUUGAGCCAUAGCCUUGACUUUUUUUUUACCAUGAUAGUGACUGAAAAGGAAAAUAAAUUGUUUAUUAGCUUGAAAACUAAAUAUUUUAAGCCAUUUUUUUUACUAUGAAUGAAAUCAAAAGCACAUGUUUUAUAACACUAAAAACAGGCAAAAUGAAAAACCCUUAUUUUGUCAUGGUAAAGUAGAUGUGAAUGAAAUCAAAAGCAUAUAUUUUAUAAGACCAAAAAUAGGCAAAAUCAAAAAUCCUUGUUUCGUCAUGGUAA
rnacentral:lncRNA from 1 species